GGUGGCUCACGCCUGUAAUCCCAGCACUUGGGGAGGCCAUGGUGGGCGAAUCGCCUGAGGUUAUGAGUUCAAGACCAGCCUGGUCAGCAUGGUGAAACCCUGUCU